rnacentral:rRNA from 1 species
ACCCCUGAACUUAAGCA